rnacentral:rRNA from 1 species
UAGUUUGAUCCUGGCUCAGGACGAACGCUGACGGUGUGCUUUAGACAUGCAAGUCGAACGAGAAAGCCCUUCGGGGUGAGUAAAGUGGCGAACGGGUGCGUAACACGUGGGUAAUCUACCCCUCGCAGAGGGACAACCGGGGGAAACCCCGGCUAAUACCUCGUACGCUCUACAAACCGCAUAGUAAGUAGAGGAAAGGUAGCUUCGGCCAUCCGGCGAGGGAUGAGCCCGCGGUACAUUAGCUAGUUGGUGAGGUAACGGCUCACCAAGGCUACGAUGUAUAGCUGGUCUGAGAGGAUGAUCAGCCACACUGGGACUGAGACACGGCCCAGACUCCUACGGGAGGCAGCAGUCGGGAAUCUUGCACAAUGGGCGAAAGCCUGAUGCAGCAACACCGUGUGAGCGAUGAAGGCCUUCGGGUCGUAAAGCUCUGUUGUUAGGGACGAAGGGCGAAGGGUUAAUAGCCCCUAGCUUGACGGUACCUUUCGAGGAAGCCCCGGCUAACUACGUGCCAGCAGCCGCGGUAAUACGUAGGGGGCGAGCGUUGUCCGGAAUUAUUGGGCGUAAAGAGCGUGUAGGCGGCCAGAUAAGUCUGCUGUGAAACCUUGGGGCUCAACCCCCAGCGUGCAGUGGAUACUGUUAGGCUAGAGGAUGGU